GUCCGGAAUUACUGGGCGUAAAGAGCUCGUAGGCGGUUUGUCACGUCGUCUGUGAAAUCCCUCGGCUUAACCGGGGGCGUGCAGGCGAUACGGGCAGACUUGAGUACUACAGGGGAGACUGGAAUUCCUGGUGUAGCGGUGAAAUGCGCAGAUAUCAAGAGGAACACCGGUGGCGAAGGCGGGUCUCUGGGUAGUAACUGACGCUGAGGAGCGAAAGCAUGGGUAGCGAACAGGAUUAGAUACCCUGGUAGUCCAUGCCGUAAACGGUGGGCGCUAGGUGUGGGGUCCUUCCACGGACUCCGUGCCGUAGCUAACGCAUUAAGCGCCCCGCCUGGGGAGUACGGCCGCAAGGCUAAAACUCAAAGGAAUUGACGGGGGCCCGCACAAGCGGCGGAGCAUGUGGAUUAAUUCGAUGCAACGCGAAGAACCUUAC
rnacentral:rRNA from 1 species